rnacentral:tRNA from 1 species
GGUGGCUCAGUGGUAGAGUGCUUGCCUUAUAAUGCAUGAGGCCCUGGGUUCGAUUCCUCAGCACCA